rnacentral:rRNA from 1 species
AUUGAACGCUGGCGGCAGGCCUAACACAUGCAAGUCGAACGAGCGGCGGACGGGUGAGCAAUGUCUGGGCACCUGCCUGAUGGAGGGGGAUAACUACUGGAAACGGUUGCUAAUACCGCAUACCAUCAGAUGUGCCCAGGUGGGAUUAGCUUGUGGGUGGGGUAACGGCUCACCAAGGCGACGAUCCCUAGCUGGUCUGAGAGGGUGACCAGCCACACUGGAACUGAGACACGGUCCAGACUCCUACGGGAGGCAGCAGUGGGGAAUAUGGGACAAUGGGCGCAAGCCUGAUGCAGCCAUGCCGCGUGUGUGAAGAAGGCCUUCGGAUUGUAAAGUACUUUCAGGUGGGAGGCGUUACCCACAGAAGAAGCACCGGCUAACUCCGUGCCAGCAGCCGCGGUAAUAC